ensembl:snRNA U6 U6 spliceosomal RNA
GUGCUGACUUUAGCAGCACGUAUACUAAAAUUGGAAUGAUACAAUGAAGAUUAUCAUGGCCCCUGUGCAAGGAUGAUACGCAAAUUCAUGAAGUGUUCUAUAUUUUU